rnacentral:rRNA from 1 species
AGGACGAACGCUGGCGGCGUGCUUAACACAUGCAAGUCGAGCGGAAAGGCCCUUCGGGGUACUCGAGCGGCGAACGGGUGAGUAACACGUGAGCAACCUGCCCUUAGCUCUGGGAUAGCUCCGGGAAACCGGAAUUAAUACCGGAUAUGACCUAGGCCGACAUCGGCCGUGGUGGAAAGUUUUUCGGCUAGGGAUGGACUCGCGGCCUAUCAGCUAGUUGGUGGGGUAAUGGCCUACCAAGGCGACGACGGGUAGCCGGCCUGAGAGGGCGACCGGCCACACUGGGACUGAGACACGGCCCAGACUCCUACGGGAGGCAGCAGUGGGGAAUCUUGCGCAAUGGGCGAAAGCCUGACGCAGCGACGCCGCGUGGGGGAUGAAGGCCUUCGGGUUGUAAACCCCUUUCAGCAGGGACGAAGCGAAAGUGACGGUACCUGCAGAAGAAGCGCCGGCUAACGUACGCGCCAGCAGCCGC